rnacentral:rRNA from 1 species
AUUGAACGCUGGCGGCAGGUUAACACAUGCAAGUCGAGCGGGGAAGGGUAGCUUGCUACCUGACCUAGCGGCGGACGGGUGAGUAAUGCUUAGGAAUCUGCCUAUUAGUGGGGGACAACAUUCCGAGAGAAAUGCUAAUACCGCAUACGCCCUACGGGGGAAAGCAGGGGAUCUUCGGACCUUGCGCUAAUAGGUGAGCCUAAGUCAGAUUAGCUAGUUGGUGGGGUAAAGGCCUACCAAGGCGACGAUCUGUAGCGGGUCUGAGAGGAUGAUCCGCCACACUGGGACUGAGACACGGCCCAGACUCCUACGGGAGGCAGCAGUGGGGAAUAUUGGACAAUGGGCGCAAGCGUGAUCCAGCCAUGCCGCGGUGUGUGAAGAAAGGCUUUUUGUUUGCAAAGACUUUUAAGCGAGGGGGGGGGGUACCUUGGGAUUAAAAACCCUAGGAAAGGGGGCCUUUCCUCCCAGAAAAAAAACCCCGGCUAACUUCUUUUCCCCCCACCCCCGGAAAAAACAGAGGGGGGCGAGCGUUAAACCGGAUUUACUGGGCCUAAAACCUGCGUAGGGGGGUUUUUUAAGUCGGGAUGUGAAACCCCUGAGCUUAAAUUUAGGAAAUUGUUUUCGAAACUGGGAAGCUUAGAGUUUUAAAAAAGGGUUUUUGGAAACUCCGAGUUUAGAGGGGGAAAAUUCGAAAAUAUCCGGAAGAAACCCCCGGGGGGAGAGGGAAAACACUGUCUUUUUACUGACGUUAGGCUUCGAAAGGGGGGGGGGGCAAAAAGA